CGUCAUUCCACCCAAUGCGGCCGUGAGUGUGAAAAUCCACCCCUCUCGUUGCCCACCACCGCCGCGCCUGCUGCAGCCUAGCGCCGCCGCCGACGCCUCGCCCGCCCCCAACCCUCCAUCUAGUUUUUCGAGGCGUUUGAUGUUGUUCAUCUAAGCCACAGGACGUCCACUCUGUUUGUUAAUAUCUAAGCACGCUUCUGACACGGAAAAUGGCAUUGCUUCUUCGCUUCAAUCAACUGAGGAACAGCAUAUGGAGUAGUUGUCCUGCCAGGUUGCUUAUGCCACAUGCUGGAUUGUCAUCUGGAAAGUUGCCUGAUCCAAAAAGCUAUGAGAGGCGCCUUUUCUCAACAAGGGUUCAAGAGACAGCUAGUUUGGACAGAACAUGUAUUUCCGGAAUUCAGCCAUUAGAGUUUCAGCAGACUUCUGAACAUGAGCAAUCUGUCCCUCUUCUUAUCUUUGAUAUUAAGACCACUGGUUUUCUCCAGAAGCGUAAUAGAAUCACUGAGUUUGCAGUCCAUGAUCUUUGGGCAGGAAAGAAUAACACAUUUGAAACUCUCCUUAAUCCUGAGAUGGAUGUUCCUAACUACAUUGCAGCUGUCAGUAACAUCAACAAUGAUUUGGUCUGCCGACCUGAUGUCCCGAGGUGUGUUUCUCUUCCAAUGCAUUCAUGUUAUUUCCAGUUCCACCACGACACCCCAUCCCUUCACAUUAGUCGGCGAGCCUGAAUGUAAAGAAAUUGUCACUAAUUAGGAUGCACUCGCACUCGCACGCCUGUAUGCGUGCCCAACCUUUUCAUUCCUCAACAUGGUGCUGUCAGAAAGACCAUAUGGAAGUAAGUCUAUUUGUCGUGUUUUGAUAACCAUCCAUACUACUAGUAUGGUAGGCGUUUCUAAGUCUUAUUUUUAGGAAUCUUGUGCACUUUGCAAGUUUUUAAAAUGGAAAUUUGGUUCUCUGUACGUCUGACUCUGUUAACACUGAACUUACUCUAAGUGUUAUCUUAAUCUGAAUAAUGUAAGUUCAGUGAUGUACUUCCGUUACUACUGGCGUUUGUUCGAAGCCGCCAAACUCCUGGCAAACCAGUUAUAUGGGUUGCUCAUAAUGUAAAAAGAUUUGAUGGCCCUUUCCUGGCCCAAGAGUUUGAUCGUUGUUCAGCUCAGAUCCCUGAAGAUUGGCUGUUUGUUGACACCUAUUGCUUGGCAAGGAAAUUGCCUAAGCUUCUGCCAUCAGAAGAUAAGAGACAUCUCCAUGACUUGGGGUCACUAUGCAAACGCUAUGGGAUCUCUGUGGAAGGCCCUCCUCAUAGAGCAAUGCAAGAAGUGAUGAAAUUAUGUCAAGUUUUCCAGAAAAUGAGUUUUGAUCUAAAACUGACAUAUGAAGGCCUAAUGGAUGAGGCCAUCGAGGCUAGUUAUUUCAGCAAGUUUCUUAAGUAAAUAGUAUUUGUUGUUUCCAGCUUCCUUGUUUUAGUGGUCAAAUUUAUUGGACUUUCCCCAAUAGGAUUAGCCUGUCCUUCACAUUGCUGGAUAUUGUUGCCUUCGUUGUAGGAUCUCAAGAAUCAUGACUUCUUUUUUGUUGAAAAAUAGCUGCAUUUGUCA